rnacentral:rRNA from 1 species
AUGAUGUCGUUCGCCAGCGCCGCCUCGUCGGAGCCACCGGCCCCUUCCUUGAGGGUAACGAAGGCACAGGGCGACUCCCCCCACCGCUCGUCGGCCCUGGCGACCACCGAGGCCUCCAGGACCGCCGGGUGCAUGUACACCACCUUCUCCACCUCCAGGGUGCUGAUGUUCUCCCCGCCGGAGAUGAUGAUGUCCUUCAUCCGGUCCUUGACUUCGACGUAA